AUGGUGUGCUUCACUUGUGGAGGACCUGGCCACUAUGUUGGUAACUGCAUCCAGAAAAAAGCAUGCUUCAUCUGUGGAUUGGAGGGUCACAAUGUCAAUAAUUGCGCAGCCUGGGCACAACCCCACCCAGUUGCCACUUUCUUUGGGAGUUCUGCUCUGGGACUGGGGUUUUAUCACAUUGACGCCCCUGUGGGAAGAGAAGCAAGUUGGCUGAAUUUUAGGAAUUGUGGAGAAAUCUGGAUCAUGGAAGGAGAAAUCAGCAAGUCAGACUUGGUUAAGAAUCUCUCUGGUAUCUUUUGCAAAAACAAACAAUGGACAUGGCAGAUCAGGCCGUUGUCAGAGAGGAAGUUCCUGGUUAGAUUCCCACCCUAGAAAGAUGUUGAAAAAUUGAUUAAAUUCUCCGCCUUUGAUCUGCCCAUCGAUGGAGUUUCUGUAUCUGUGGAAAAGUGGACCGACUCAAUUGACCCGUUCAGCGAGCUUACUGAAGCAUGGGUGGUUGUUGAGGGGUUAUCAUCUAAAUGGUGCACAUGGAAGGUAUUAUCUCAAAUUGCUUCCUGCUUCGGAAUUCUUGUGGAUGUGGAUUGGAAUGGUCUGUUGAAGAGUUUCUAUGAGAAAGUAAGGGUCAAAAUUGCUUGCAGGGACCCAACUAAGAUCCCCUUUGAAAGGAUUAUGGAAAUGAGGAAAAAGCUUUAUAUCUUGUCCUUUACUGUGGAAGGCUUUGACCGGGUAGGGGCUGAUGAUCCUAAUAAUGAUCAUGGUCCU
rnacentral:rRNA from 1 species